rnacentral:lncRNA from 1 species
GAGAAGCCAUUUCAAUCCAGAGGGAGACAGAAAGAUGGCACGCUCAGCCCGGAAACAAGAGCCCCCAUUAUGCGUCAGGCCUACCCCCGUAGGUCAGCCCUUCCUGCCACAAUCAUCCCUGUAUGUGUGUGCCUGGGGGAGUUGGGCCCUCCUCGGUGGGCAGACAAAUCCCCUGGGCUUCCUAAGGAUUCUUGCUUCCAUUUAUUUGCACAGAGAACGGCUUCUUUUCGUCCCCCAAGGCAGAUGGAGCAGCGAUUUCACACACAGCCCUCCAUUUGGCAGCCCCCCCACCCCCCCAUCUCUGGCACCGCUCCCCAGUAAAAUAUUAACUGGUUGUUCAGAGCUGCUUACAAUUCUACCCACUUCAAUUGCGUUAGGAGGUCUUUGCUGGUCUCCUCCCUAAAGCUGCCUUCGCAGUUGGUCUGUACCCAGAGAUAGAAAAGGACCGUAAAAUGUCCCCAGCUUUCUCGCUCUCUUUCCUUCUUCGGCAUUUUAAAUGACAAGGUGCUUAAUUAACAGGAUUUUUUAAAACAGCAACCUGGAACCACAGAAGCUAAAUAAACACCAUUCUUUAGAGGCUGGAGAAAGCGUCCAGAGUUAACGCAGCCAUAUGCCAGGAGGCAUAACUCCGGAGCAAUAAAGUCUCCCCU